GAGACGUUAGUAUAACCAACUACAUAGCCUUGUCAAGGCUAAGUUACAGGAAAAAUCCUGUACAUCUCU